rfam:Sulfolobus solfataricus P2, complete genome.
UUGGUGAUGACGCCCUUCAGUUUGAUUGAUGAUAAGGGCCCGUGUUACUGAA